AGUGGAGUUGUAGAGAACUCUCAACAGCCUCGGCUGAGGAUUCCCUCUGGCCAAGUUUACACGAGCUUGUCUAGGUUCCUGCCAGGUCCCUCUUCAGGGGUGAGAGGCUUGAGGAGGGAGCCCAGCCAGCCUGCCCCACCCUCUUUUCUAGGGACCGAGGAGACAGCUGACUGAAGGAUCUCACUGUGCAGCCCUGACUGGCCUGGAACUCACUUAUGUAGACCAGAUUGACCUCAACUCACAGAGAUGCACCUGCCUCUGCUUCUGAGUGCUGGGAUUAAAGGAAGGUCUUGGCCCAGACUCGGAAAUGCAGCUGCAGACUCCAGCUCUCUUGGCGGUGCAGUGGCCCAAACUCACAACGCAACCUGAAACACUUGGCUUCAGGGCAUUUCUGGAGAAAAAGAAGGUAUUUGAGCCCAGAAUUCUACUUUGGUGAUCCUGAGAACUUAAACCGGUGUCCAGUGAUUGGGGCCAACUCCAUUCCCUGCAAUGACUUACCAGGACUUGUGGCCCUGCGGUGGUAGCGCUCCUGCCGGGAGCCUCUCUUUUCUGCAGGUGGUGUGGGACGCUGUCGGGAUCCAGCUGGAAGGAGAGACAUUCUUACUGUCCCUCCUGCUCAUUACAGCACCUAAGUCAGCCUGAACCUGAGUUCCAGAGCAGGAGCCCAGCUCCUGUCUCUGUCCCUGUGUCCAGCCAACCCACCCACUGCCAGAGCAAGGCACCCACCUUGUUCUGCACUGAAAUAGGAGAACUCACAGAGAUCCUCCUGCCUCUGCCUCCCGAGUGCUGGGAUUAAAGGCGUGCGCCACCAC